CCUACAUCAUCCAAUUGGGUCUUAUAAGCUUGUAUUUCAGAUAACCAGACCAGCAACAUGCGAUCGAGGAAAAUCAAACAAUCAACAAAAAAAGAUAAUCAUAUGUUAAAGUUAAAGAACAAAAAAAUAGAAAGUUGUAUAUGAAAAGAAGAAAAUAGAAAAUGAAGGACGAAGAGAGAAGAUGUCAAAGUUUGCGGUAAAAAAGCCAAAGAGGAGGAAGCACUUUCAAUUGUUUAUGGGACUGUGUCGUCUGACCAAAAUGUAGAAGUACUGGUCGUAGGUUGUGCAAGAUGAAAUAUUGGUUUUGACAGAGAUGCAGGCACCAUGAGAAUAUGUUACACGUGUUGUUCUGGCAGACAUGAAUAAAUCUUCUUCGCGAUAACAAAUCGACCAACCAGAAUACAUUUAAUUUAAGAUACAUGGAUACCGUAUGCAAGGUCAGUAUUGUUAAGCUAACUUAGUAUAUAUAUGAAAAGAUACUAAUAAAAAUUUUGUUCCGUGGAUAUGCGUUCAAGGCCAAAAAAUCGUUGGUUUGGGUUAAGUUGUGUCUUUUUGACACUAAUAUUUUGCAGGCAUGGACACAUAAAUAGAUGAUUGUUGUCAAGAAUCCAAAAGACGUUUCAGCCGAAAGAUAGUUACAGUAUCAAAACUCUCCCGAACAGUCUCUCUAUAAUCUACGCAUAAAGGGUAAGGUACCAUGAUCCAUAAUCAUAAUCAAUGAUCUUAGAUUACGAUUCUUUUCUGUUGUUUCCAUACUAAUUUGAUAAUAAUUGUUUCGAUACUAAUUUGAAAAUGUGUACGGAUGUAGUCAAAACGAUUGCUUUGCUUACCAUGUCAUGAUUAUCAUGAUUAUCAUGCAUAGUACUACAUAUAUUACUCUUAGUGAAUGAAUGAUUGGGGUGAAUACAAAAAUACAUGUUUGAA